GUGAAGCGGACCAUUACUAAUCGGUCGAGGACUUAACCGAAGAAUAGCAUUGGAAACUGGAAGACUUGAGUGCAGAAGAGGAGAGUGGAA
rnacentral:rRNA from 1 species